rnacentral:lncRNA from 1 species
UUAUUGUUGAGGAUUUCAGAGAAAGUUUCUCCAUCAUGCUGGAGACACAUUUCUCCUGCAAUGUGCUUGCAAAUCUUUUUAAGAAAUGUUUAUAGCACACAGAAGAUUCUUGCUGUUCACCAACUUAAGAUGUGCAGUUCUGAAAAUAUGAAAGCAACCCAAAUAAAAUAAUGUUUAAUUUCACAAAAA